UGGGGAAUAUUGGACAAUGGGCGAAAGCCUGAUCCAGCCAUGCCGCGUGUGUGAAGAAGGUCUUCGGAUUGUAAAGCACUUUAAGUUGGGAGGAAGGGCAGUAAGCGAAUACCUUGCUGUUUUGACGUUACCGACAGAAUAAGCACCGGCUAACUCUGUGCCAGCAGCCGCGGUAAUACAGAGGGUGCAAGCGUUAAUCGGAAUUACUGGGCGUAAAGCGCGCGUAGGUGGUUCGUUAAGUUGAAUGUGAAAGCCCCGGGCUCAACCUGGGAACUGCAUCCAAAACUGGCGAGCUAGAGUAGGGCAGAGGGUGGUGGAAUUUCCUGUGUAGCGGUGAAAUGCGUAGAUAUAGGCAGGAACACCAGUGGCGAAGGCGACCACCUGGGCUCAUACUGACACUGAGGUGCGAAAGCGUGGGGAGCAAACAGG
rnacentral:rRNA from 1 species